AAUGUAUAUCACGUUCCCAAAAUAUAGGCUCUGAGAGGCAGUGGCCGUGGGCACAUCUGGGCUUUUUAUCGAGGGCGCCAGCGCCGCCUCGGACCGCCGCCUCCGUUGCCGGCGCGUCGGAGGCUCGGACCCCCGCCUCCGGUGCUGGUGCCUCACACCCCUGCCUCCGCUGCCGCCGCCUCGCACCCCCGCCUUCGCUGCCGCUGCGAGCCACGCGGUUGCUCGUCUGGGCGCAUCGAGGGCGCCGGCGCCGCCUCGGACCGCCGCCUCCGGUGCCGGCGCCUCGGACCCCCGCCUCCGCUGCCGCUGCGAGCCGCGCGGUUGCUCGUGACAGCGGUGCGCCUCCAACUGUCGCCUCCGCUGCCACUGCGGAGCUGCAAGGCGCCGCCACCGGCGACCAAGCAGCGAGCAGCCACCGGUGAUUGGCAGCGACUCUUCCAAUCCAUCACCGGCCUCAGCCACCGCCUACCUCGGCACAAAACUGGGGAUGGACAGAAGUUGGAUCAAUAGUAGGCUAUUUAGCAAGCCGCAUCUUGAUGGGGUCAAUGAGUUCAUGAAAUUUGUUUUAGAAAGAUUUGAUGAGAAUGCAGAGAUACUUUGUCCAUGUCGAUGGUGUUUGAAUCGGAUUCAUCGACAGAAAGGACAUGUGGAGGAUCACUUAUAUAUUUAUGGGAUAGCCAGCACUUACACUAGAUGGAUAUACCAUGGAGAACAAUCCGAUGCCGGAAUUAAUGAAAAUGAAGACCAUCUGGAUGAACAUACUAGUUUUAGUGAGGAUGUUGGUAUAAAUGAGGAUGAAGAAGAGAACCCUCCCGACAGAAUUCCUGACAUGGUAGAUGAGUUGUACAUAGCAGAAGGUCAAGAUGGAGGGAAGUCUAUGUUUGCAGCUAUAUUAGAUGAGAUGAAGCAGUAACUUUACCCUGGUGUAGAUUGUACAAGAUUUUCUUUUGUGGUGAAGUUACUUCAUAUCAAGUCAUUUUAUCCAAUCAGCAAUGCUUGGGCCUAUUGGGCCUUUUCAA